UUGGUCAAGCUAUAAAGGGCGCAGGGCGAAUGCCUUGGCACCAGGAACCGAAGAAGGACGCGAUAAGCUGCGAAAAGCCACGGGGAGAUGCAAGUAAUCUGUGAUCCGUGGAUGUCCGAAUGGAGCAAUCCGGCAGGAGUAAUAUCCUGUCACCGUAUGAUGAAUCCAUAGUCAUACGGGGGGAACCCCCUGAACUGAAACAUCUAAGUAGGGGGAGGAAGAGAAAUCAACCGAGAUUCCGCAAGUAGUGGCGAGCGAACGCGGAAGAGGCCAAACCGGAGGUAGCAAUACCUUCGGGGUUGCGGACUGCAUUUAGCAUUGACAAGACCUAGAAGAAGUGUAUGGGAAGGCACACCGAAGAGCGUGAGAGUCGCGUAUUUGAAAGGUUGAGUCAGCGAGCAGGAUCCAGAGUACCGCGGGACACGUGAAACCCCGUGGGAAGCUGGGGGGACCACCCUCCAAGCCUAAAUAUUCCCUGGUGACCGAUAGCGUAUAGUACUGUGAAGGAAAGGUGAAAAGGACCCCGGGAGGGGAGUGAAAGAGAACCUGAAACCCUGUGCCUACAAGCACCGAGAGCACGUCAAAGUGUGAUCGGGUACUUUUUGUAGAACGGUCCGGCGAGUGUAUUUAGCAAGCAAGGUUAAGCACUUCAGGUGUGGAGCCGCAGCGAGAGCGAGUCUGAAUAGGGCGAGUGAGUUUGUUGGAUACGACCCGAAACCGGGUGACCUAGCCAUGUCCAGGCUGAAGUGGAGGUAAAACUCCAUGGAGGGCCGAACCGACCUCCGUUGAAAAGGCGGCGGAUGAGGUGUGGCUAGCGGAGAAAUUCCAAUCGAACCCGGAUAUAGCUGGUUCUCCCCGAAAUAGCUUUAGGGCUAGCGUUGUUUUAGAUUACCGGAGGUAAAGCACUGAAUGGUCUAGGGGCCGAGAGGUUACCAAAACCUAUCAAACUCUGAAUGCCGGCUAAUUGAUGAACAGCAGUCAGACUACGUGAGAUAAGUCUCGUGGUCAAAAGGGAAAAAGCCCAGACCCACAGCUAAGGUCCCGAAAUACCAUUAAGUGGAGAAGGAUGUGGGGUUGCGAAAACAACCAGGAUGUUGGCUUAGAAGCAGCCACUCAUUAAAAGAGUGCGUAAUAGCUCACUGGUCGAGUGACCCUGCGCCGAAAAUGUAACGGGGCUAAAUGGUAUACCGAAGCUUGGGAUUGCGUCUGCUGAACAAUGCAGAUUAACAUUUGCGCCGCGAAGAGCGGUGGGAAGCGAGAAGGAAAAGAGGCAAAGCGAAAAGCGGCGCUAAAUACUUCGAGCGAAAUGGUAGUAGGUGUUGUUCAGCAGAUGCAGUGGUAGGGGAGCGUCGUAUAAGGGGUGAAGUCGUAGCGGAAGCGGCGGUGGACUUUAUACGAGUGAGAAUGCCGGAAUGAGUAGCGAGAAUUAUGUGAGAAUCAUAAUGGCCGAAAGCCUAAGGUUUUUGGAGGAAGGUUCGUCCGCUCCAAGUAAGCCGGGAGCUAAGGUGAGGCCGAAAGGCGUAGCCGAUGCACAUACGGUAGAAAUUCCGUAGCCACCGAAAAUUUAAGCAGGGGGACACCCAGAAAGCGCAUGACCCGGGCGUUGGUUGACUCGGGCGUAAGGGACCGAAAAAUAGUAGGGAAGCAUGUGUAGACUGGGGCGAGAAAAGCCCUGUGAAUAUCCAAGGUGCCCGUACCGCAAACCGACACAGGUAGGUAGGAAGAGAAUUCUAAGGCCAACGGGAGAAGGGUUGUUAAGGAACUCGGCAAGUUGACCCCGUAACUUAGGGAGAAGGGGUGCUCAUGCAAGUGAGCCGCAGAGAAUAGGUCCAGGCGACUGUUUAGCAAAAACACAGCUCUAUGCUAAAUCGAAAGAUGACGUAUAUGGGGUGACACCUGCCCGGUGCUGGAAGGUUAAGAGGAGAUGUGAGAGCAUUGAAUUGAAGCCCCAGUAAACGGCGGCCGUAACUAUAACGGUCCUAAGGUAGCGAAAUUCCUUGUCAGGUAAGUUCUGACCCGCACGAAUGGUGUAACGAUCUGGACACUGUCUCAACAGCCCGCCCGGCGAAAUUGUAGUACCGGUGAAGAUGCCGGUUACCCGCGACAAGACGGAAAGACCCCAUGGAGCUUUACUGUAGCUUAAUAUUGGAUUUUGGUAUUUCAUGUAUAGGAUAGGUGGGAGACUGGGAAGCGAGUACGCCAGUAUUCGUGGAGUCGAUGUUGGAAUACCACUCUUGAGAUGCUGAAAUUCUAACCUGCGCCUGUGAAUCCAGGCGGGGGACAUUGUUAGGUGGGCAGUUUGACUGGGGCGGUCGCCUCCAAAAAGGUAACGGAGGCGCUCAAAGGUUGGCUCAGCACGGACGGAAACCGUGCAUUAGAGUGUAAACGCAAAAGCCAGCCUAACUGCGAGACCGACGGGUCGAGCAGUAACGAAAGUUGGAGUUAGUGAUCCGGUGGUAUGUGAGUGGAAAUGCCAUCGCUCAACGGAUAAAAGCUACCCUGGGGAUAACAGGCUGAUCUCCCCCAAGAGUCCACAUCGUCGGGGAGGUUUGGCACCUCGAUGUCGGCUCAUCGCAUCCUGGGGCUGUAUUCGGUCCCAAGGGUUUGGCUGUUCGCCAAUUAAAGCGGUACGCGAGCUGGGUUCAGAACGUCGUGAGACAGUUCGGUCCCUAUCUGUCGUGGGCGCAGGAUAUUUGAGAGGAGCUGUCCCUAGUACGAGAGGACCGGGAUGGACGCACCUCUGGUGCACCAGUUGUCACGCCAGUGGCACAGCUGGGCAGCUAAGUGCGGAACGGAUAAACGCUGAAGGCAUCUAAGCGUGAAGCCGACCUCAAGAUAAGAUAUCCCACUGAGAUAAUCAGGUAAGACCCCUUGAAGACUACAAGGUUGAUAGGCCUCAGGUGUAAGCAUGGCGACAUGUUCAGCCAGGAGGUACUAAUCGGUCGAGGGCUUGACCUAG
rnacentral:rRNA from 1 species